CCCUUGCACCUUGUUUGGCAGCAGGUCACUGUGAGCCGCCGGUUGGUCCGAUCAGCCCACAUUGUUCUUGCUUUUUCCUCCAAACUAAAGAAAUGAGGACAAUCCUGUGCAAAGAAGUAGACAUGGAGGCGUGGAGACAGCAGAACCUAUGUUUAAAAUUACGUCAGUUCUGGAAUAGUAUUCAUCUGCUGACCUGGAGGGAGAUGCAUGUGUCCAUCUGGUAUGCAGAGAUCAUUGCCCCACAUCUUGGCAUCCACUUGCUGCAAUUUAUUGAUAUGUUGGAUAUUUCCUCUUCUGAUUCUUUUACUGAUCUUCUGAAAGGGCCUAUAUUUCUAAUGCAGCAGUGACAAGAAGUGUGUCACGGUACUCACAAAAGGGAGUCCUGCAAUUAGAAUUUGGUGAGACAAAACCCAGCAAAGGACCUAGAACACCACUGCCUUCAUUGCACCAUUCCAGAGCCCAGAGGAGGGACGAUUGGCAUUACCCAUGAACAAUAGGGACAAAGGCAGCCCAAACGAGAAUGAUAACCUGUGGCAUGUUUGGCUCUCCAGAAAUGAGUGAUGAAUGCAUUCCAAAGAGGAGUAAAAUAAACUGGGACAGAUCUUGGGACUAUUUUUAAUGUGCAUCUGCCUAUACACUGAAUUUUGUUACCUGAAGAAACUGAGGGAUCUCUAUCAUUUGGGAUCUUAUCUUUAAGAUUCCAUAAAUGUGCUUGGAAUCAUAUGGGUUUCCCAUGUGGAUGGGUCAGAAGACCUCCAAAUCCUAUAAUCUGUCUGUCAUCUAAAGGCCUGCUCAUGAUGUUCUUGCAAUGCUACAACAGUGACUUGUUUGGAAACUACUUAUUUUAAACUCUCUUAAUGGCAUGACAAGAAACUCUUGUAGUGGCUGUGCUCUUUCCUAACGUGGAACCUGGGUUGUUCCACUUAAAAGACUUGUUGCUAUAAAAUUAUUCUUUUGUGUAACAGGGUACAAUAACACCAACUCUGUGAUUCCUUUGACUAUCUAUCAAUUUCUGAUACUUUGAGAGCUGGCGUACUGCUCUCUACUCUCCAGAAAAUUUGGCUAACUUUGUGCAGCAGUAUAUUGGCCUUUGAAAAUUGGCUUACAGUUAGCAGACAGAAGCAGGGUCAGAAUUAGUUCAAAACAAAUUAAUAGUCAGAAGUUCUAACUUGCUAAGCUGUAUGCAGUCCACUCUUCAAAGGAUAUUCACCGAUUGCUGUAAUUGCUGUCUUUAAGGUCUUCCAAAAAUCCAUGGACAUGUUAAUUAAUACUGUUGUAGAUAUAUGUGAAGGUAUUUGACCUGAGAAUUUAAUUCUACAGUUUAAUUCCAUAAUGAUUGUAAAUGGUAAGACUGCUGCAUAUUUAAAAGAACAUUAUUGUGAAUUUAGCUAGCUGUUGGCAGUUUAAUAGUGACUAACAGAUAUUAAAUAAGCAUGAAAUUCUA